CGCGGUCAACUGAUGAACCCAAUUACGGAUGUUUUACAAACAAAUAUGUCCGACGUGCGCAUACCCCGUGUGGAGAUCUCCGUUGCCUUCCUUCUGACUCCCGC
rnacentral:snoRNA from 1 species